rnacentral:rRNA from 1 species
UCAAGUAAUUAAGUGCAUGUGGUGGAUGCCUUGGCAGUCAGAGGCGAUGAAAGACGUGAUAGCCUGCGAAAAGCUCCGGGGAGGCGGCAAAUAUCCUUUGAUCCGGAGAUGUCUGAAUGGGGGAACCCACCUACUUUAAGGUAGGUAUUGCAACAUGAAUACAUAGUGUUGCAAGGCGAACGAGGGGAAGUGAAACAUCUCAGUACCCUUAGGAAAAGAAAUCAAUUGAGAUUCCCUCAGUAGCGGCGAGCGAACGGGGAUCAGCCCAUUAAGUUAUGUGUGUUUUAGUGGAACGCUCUGGGAAGUGCGAACGUAGAGGGUGAUAUUCCCGUACACGAAAGGGCACACAUAAUGAUGACGAGUAGGGCGAGGCACGUGAAACCUUGUCUGAAUAUGGGGGGACCAUCCUCCAAGGCUAAAUACUCCUGACUGACCGAUAGUGAACCAGUACCGUGAGGGAAAGGCGAAAAGAACCCCUGUGAGGGGAGUGAAAUAGAUCCUGAAACCGCAUGCAUACAAGCAGUGGGAGCACCUUCGUGGUGUGACUGCGUACCUUUUGUAUAAUGGGUCAGCGACUUAUAUUCAGUAGCGAGGUUAACCGUAUAGGGGAGCCGUAGAGAAAUCGAGUCUUAAUAGGGCGUUUAGUUGCUGGGUAUAGACCCGAAACCAGGCGAUCUAUCCAUGAGCAGGUUGAAGGUUGGGUAACACUAACUGGAGGACCGAACCCACUGUCGUUGAAAAGCCAGGGGAUGACUUGUGGAUAGGGGUGAAAGGCUAAUCAAGCCUGGUGAUAGCUGGUUCUCCCCGAAAGCUAUUUAGGUAGCGCCUCGGACGAAUACCAUAGGGGGUAGAGCACUGUUUCGGCUAGGGGGUCAUCCCGACUUACCAAACCGAUGCAAACUCCGAAUACCUAUGAGUACUAUCCGGGAGACAGACUGCGGGUGCUAACGUCCGUAGUCAAGAGGAAAACAAUCCAGACCGCCAGCUAAGGCCCCAAAAUCAUAGUUAAGUGGGAAACGAUGUGGGAAGGCAUAGACAGCUAGGAGGUUGGCUUAGAAGCAGCCACCCUUUAAAGAAAGCGUAAUAGCUCACUAGUCGAGUCGGCCUGCGCGGAAGAUGUAACGGGGCUAAAACUAUGUGCCGAAGCUGCGGAUGUAUACUUUGUAUACGUGGUAGGGGAGCGUUCUGUAAGCCGAUGAAGGUGUGUUGAGAAGCAUGCUGGAGGUAUCAGAAGUGCGAAUGCUGACGUGAGUAACGACAAAACGGGUGAAAAACCCGUUCGCCGAAAGACCAAGGGUUCCAGUCCAACGUUAAUCGGGGCUGGGUGAGUCGACCCCUAAGGCGAGGCCGAAAGGCGUAGUCGAUGGGAAAAUGGUUAAUAUUCCAUUACUUCUGUGUAAUGCGAUGAGAGGACGGAGAAGGCUAAAUCAGCCUGGCGUUGGUUGUCCAGGUGAAAGGAUGUAGGCAUGUAUCUUAGGCAAAUCCGGGGUACUCUAUGCUGAGAUCUGAUAGCAAGCUGUACUUGUACAGCGAAGUGGUUGAUGCCAUGCUUCCAGGAAAAGUCUCUAAGCUUCAGUUACACAGGAAUCGUACCCGAAACCGACACAGGUGGUCAGGUCGAGUAGACCAAGGCGCUUGAGAGAACUCUGCUGAAGGAACUAGGCAAAAUGGUACCGUAACUUCGGGAGAAGGUACGCUGUUGUUGGUGAUGGAACUCGCUUCCUGAGCUGACGACAGCCGCAGAAACCAGGCCGCUGCAACUGUUUAUUAAAAACAUAGCACUCUGCAAACACGAAAGUGGACGUAUAGGGUGUGAUGCCUGCCCGGUGCUGGAAGGUUAAUUGAUGGGGUUAGCGUAAGCGAAGCUCUUGAUCGAAGCCCCAGUAAACGGCGGCCGUAACUAUAACGGUCCUAAGGUAGCGAAAUUCCUUGUCGGGUAAGUUCCGACCUGCACGAAUGGCAUAAUGAUGGCGGCGCUGUCUCCAGCAGAGGCUCAGUGAAAUCGAAAUCGCUGUGAAGAUGCAGUGUCCCCGCGGCUAGACGGAAAGACCCCGUGAACCUUUACUGCAGCUUGACACUGAACUUUGACCUUACUUGUGUAGGAUAGGUGGGAGGCUUUGAAGCUGGAACGCUAGUUCCAGUGGAGCCGUCCUUGAAAUACCACCCUGGUAAUGUUGAGGUUCUAACUCUGUCCCGUGAUCCGGGACGAGGACCGUGUCUGGUGGGUAGUUUGACUGGGGCGGUCUCCUCCUAAAGAGUAACGGAGGAGUACGAAGGUGCGCUCAGCGUGGUCGGAAAUCACGCGUAGAGUAUAAAGGCAAAAGCGCGCUUAACUGCGAGACCCACAAGUCGAGCAGGUACGAAAGUAGGUCUUAGUGAUCCGGUGGUUCUGUAUGGAAGGGCCAUCGCUCAACGGAUAAAAGGUACUCUGGGGAUAACAGGCUGAUACCGCCCAAGAGUUCAUAUCGACGGCGGUGUUUGGCACCUCGAUGUCGGCUCAUCUCAUCCUGGGGCUGAAGCAGGUCCCAAGGGUAUGGCUGUUCGCCAUUUAAAGAGGUACGCGAGCUGGGUUUAGAACGUCGUGAGACAGUUCGGUCCCUAUCUACCGUGGGCGCUGGAAAUUUGAGAGGAUCUGCUCCUAGUACGAGAGGACCAGAGUGGACGAACCUCUGGUGUACCGGUUGUGACGCCAGUCGCAUCGCCGGGUAGCUAUGUUCGGAAGGGAUAACCGCUGAAAGCAUCUAAGCGGGAAGCCUACCUCAAGAUAAGAUUUCCCUAGGACUUUAUGUCCUCUAAAGAGCCGUUCGAGACUAGGACGUUGAUAGGUUGGAUGUGGAAGCAUAGUGAUAUGUGAAGCUGACCAAUACUAAUUGCUCGUGAGGCUUGACUAU